AUUGAACGCUGGCGGCAUGCCUUACACAUGCAAGUCGAACGGUAACAGGUUAAGCUGACGAGUGGCGAACGGGUGAGUAAUACAUCGGAACGUGCCCAGCAGUGGGGGAUAGCCCGGCGAAAGCCGGAUUAAUACCGCAUACGACCUAAGGGUGAAAGGGGGGGAUCGCAAGACCUCUCGCUAUUGGAGCGCCCGAUGUCAGAUUAGCUAGCUGGUGGGGUAAAAUCUCACCAAGGCGAAGAUCUGUAGCUGGUCUGAGAGGACGACCAGCCAUAAUGGGACUGAGACACGGCCCAGACUCCUAUGGGAGGCAGCAAUGGGGAAUUUUUGACAGUGGGCGCAAGCCUGUUCCAGCCAUGCCGCGUGCGGGAAAAAGGCCUUCGGGUUGUAAACCGCUUUUGUCAGGGAAGAAAUCCUUUGGGUGACUACCUCGGGGGGAUGACGGUACCUGAAGAAUAAGCACCGGCUAACUACGUGCCAGCCGCCGCAGUAAGAC
rnacentral:rRNA from 1 species